rnacentral:lncRNA from 1 species
AUGGGGGGGCAGAGAAGGGGGAGGCUGGUAGGGGAGAGAAACACGCCCAACUUACCCUCUGGCUGGAGAGUGGCAGUCCCGGCCCCGGGAGGGCGGACCGGCGAGAGGGGUGGCCUCACUUCUCUAAGUAAUGCCCGAGGAGCGGCGCCUCUUCCCCCGCCCCCUCAUCGCCCCCCGGAGCUCGGGGUGGGGGGCAGCUGCUGCUGCUGCUGCUGCUGCUGCUGCUGCUGCGGGCGGCGGCGGCGGCGGCGGCGGCCUGGCUCCAGGGGGCUGCCAGGAGCUUCUCCGGCCUCCCGGAGCGGAGUAGAGCAGGUUUCAUUACGAUCUCCAGAGUCUAGAGGAGGUGGAAACCGAGUCCAAGAACGGGUUCUAGCUGCGAGGUCCGUUUGGCCCAGCCCAGGUGCUUACCCUCCAGAGAUUCUUCUGGUCAUUCUGAUGUACUUCACCAAAAUUGGUCAACAGACCCUCCUGUCUGAUAGUGGCUGACCUCAAGAUCAGCAGACCCUCGGCAGUGGAAAAGGAGGCUAGGGAUGCCUGUUCCCAGAAAAAAAAGACUAGGUUCCCCUUCUGUAGAGGUAGGGCUGGACACAGGCUUCUGUUGGUCAGUGAACAUUGAGAACAGAUCCUCCACUCUUCAGAUAAGGUCAGUAGUGACAGUCCAACUUGGAGAGUUGGAGGAAUCUCAGACUAGAGAAUGGAGCAUUCUAAAAUGUCUUUGUGUUUGAAAAAAAAAAUCAGCAUUUCUGUCUCACCUGCUAGAAAAAUAAAGCAUUUAUAUUCUUG